rnacentral:rRNA from 1 species
GGUUAAGUACUUAAGGUACGGAGCCGAAGGGAAACCGAGUCUGAAUAGGGCGACUAGUUGCAUGCCGUAGACCCGAAACCGGGUGACCUAUCCAUGGCCAGGUUGAAGCGAGGGUAAAACCUCGUGGAGGACCGAACCACGUUGCUGUUGAAAAAGCAUGGGAUGAGCUGUGGAUAGCGGAGAAAUUCCAAUCGAACCCGGAGAUAGCUGGUUCUCUCCGAAAUAGCUUUAGGGCUAGCGUCGAGUAUGAGUAGUGGAGGUAGAGCACUGAAUGGGCUAGGGGGCAUAGCGCUUACCGAACCUUAUCAAACUCCGAAUGCCACAUACUUUGAGCUCGGCAGUCAGACUACGAAUGAUAAGAUCCGUGGUCAAAAGGGAAACAGCCCAGAUCGUCAGCUAAGGUCCCAAAGUGUAAGUUAAGUGGGAAAGGAUGUGAGAUUUCUAAGACAACUAGGAUGUUGGCUUAGAAGCAGCCAUUCAUUAAAAGAGUGCGUAAUAGCUCACUAGUCGAGAGAUCUUGCGCCGAAAAUGUAACGGGGCUAAACUUACCA